rnacentral:tRNA from 1 species
GGGGCUAUGGGGUAGCUUGGCAAUCCUUUCUGGUUUGGGACCAGAUGACCCCGGUUCAAAAGCACUUUUCUGAGGAAUGUGCUGAAUUUCCGGGUAGCCCCA